GGGUGGACUGAAAGCUUGAAAAUCUCUGGCAAGGGGGAAUUUAGAAGGCUUUGAAGCAUGGGAGUGGCUGAGCAGAACUCUGUAAAUAAUCCCAGCAGCCACUCAGAGGAAGGCUGGGCAGUUCAGGAUGAGGAAGGAUCACUCAGGAGGAUCCCUGCCACCACAGAGUUGAUGGAAGAGGGUGGAAGUCUGACCUGAGGCUGUGGCAAGGGUGACAGGCAGGAAUGGGGGAGAUGAACUUCAAGCAAGGCCCCAGGUUUCUGGCCGGGGUGACUGUGCAGAUAAAGAAUAAGGGAGAAAGAGCAGGCACGUCAGGAUGGAGGAGCACCAGUGUAUGGUUCGGGAUUUGACGGUUCCAGUGAUUCUGUCUUUACUAAUACAACCCACAUUUAUAAUUGGACCCAGUGAAUUCUGGCCUUUCUUCUGCUUAGGGUUUUCCCUAGAUGUCACUGAGGGAAAAAGAAGCUUCUUUCAUCCAGUUAGUAAGAAAUAAGUAGUAAACUAGUGGCUCCUGACUCCCACUCCCCAAGGUUGGCAGAGAACUUCCAGGGAGGGCACCCUUAAACAUGAACUUAUUACAGAUUACAGAUGGUGCCUUGUGAUAAUUGACAGCACAGUGAAGAAGAGGUUGUGGGAGCAAACCACCCCUGCUAGGGGAAACCACUGAUGAUUCAUCUUUGCCCUGUGCUGAUUGAUUCUACUAAAAACUCAGACAUUCCCUGAAUAAUUUUAUAUAGUUCUUGCAGCUUGUUCAGUGAUAAGGAAUUCUUUGCAGAAAGUAUUUCUUUCUAAGGUCCCUUCUCUUUGCCUUGUUCUGGGCAAAGAGACCAAAUGACCUAUCGUGUUAUUGACAUCUGUGAGCUCUUGAAAGCUAUUUGCCUUUCUUCAUUAACAGAAAUCCAACAGGGAACAUUUUAUUUUUGUCUUAACUUCUCAAGUUUCUUUUUUCUUUUCAAAUUAUAAACUGAUGGUUUGUUCCAGGGUAAUGAAAUAUAGUUGUAUACAAAAUAUAUAGUCAUAUAAUUGCUAGCUAUAAUAAAAUUCCGAGAUUGCCAGAAUCUUCACAUUCACCCUUACAUGGGACCUAGACUGCAUCUGAGAAUGUGACAGAAAAGGAAACGUAGCUGUACUCGCCUGACUUUGUACCUCCCAGGGUUUGGUUAUAGCUGACAGAUCACAUGCAGUCAUCAUCAUUGCCCUUAGAAGAAAACAAAAGUUGUUAAAAUAGAAAGACAUAAAAAAUAAGGUGGUUUUUUUUUGUUUUUUUUUUGUUUUGUUGUGUGUGUGUGUGUUUGUUUUUUGUUUUUUGCCAAAAGAGGAAUAAAAUUCUCACUACUCACAUUAUAACCUCUUUUUUGGUUGGAUCAAUGGUUACAUAUUUGACGGCCUCUUCCUCGGUUUCCAUUUUUUCACAGGCAUCAACAAUUUUUUGAAACAUGGUUCUCUUCCUAAAAAAGAUACAGCUGUGCAACGAUUAUAGCAUAUAAGACCAGAGAUUUUAAAAAAGUAUCUUUAAUAUGCGCUUCUCAGAGUUAAAGUUCCCACUUUGCAUCAGAUGUUUACAUAGUGGAUCUAAAGGGUCAGGGAAUAAGAGACUAAAUGGCUGCUAACCGUUGGCACAGAAAGGGUUUAAGACAGGAAAACCACCAGCCACAGAAAGGGAAAAAAUUGGUACGCACUUCAGAGAAACUCUCACGUGUACAAGGACAUACGAUGUGGUAUUGUCAACAAUAAUGAAAAGUAGGAAAUGAUCUAAAUGUCCAUGAAUAGAAGAAUGGUUAAAUUAAUUAUGGCAUGUUCAUAAAGCUGAAUAUACAGUUCAAAUGAAUGAACUGGAUCUUCAUUUACCACCAAGGUAAAUCUUUAAAACAUAUUGCAUGAAAAAGCAAGUUGCGGAAAAGUAUGUACAAGAUGAAACCAUUUAUGGAAAAUUUUAAAACGCACGUAACAAUACCACAUGAAAACGUGGAUGGAAAGGACAGAUACACAGCAUCAGGAUGAUGAUGACUGUGAGGGGAAAGGGAGGGGUUUUUCAUGGUAGAGUGGGUUCGAAUGCCUCGACUGCAUUUUUUUUUUCCUUAAAAAAAAAAAAAGACCUCAGGUGUGGCAAAAUCUUAGCAUUUGUUGAAUCUGGGUCAUGGAUAUUUGGUAUAUGUGCUGCCGAAGCGAGCACUGGGUCAUGGAUAUUUGGAUAUCAAUUAUAUUCUUUCAAGUAUCUGUCUUCAUCUUUGAACUAUUAAAUAGUUUUUUAAUUAAGAAGGAUCAGAGAGGCACGAUUUGAUACUACCCAUGUAAGUCAUUAAAUAGUUGGAUAUUAUAACUAGUUCACCUUGUCCUAAUCCAUUUUGCCAAGCAACUCUAUAGUUCACUGACAAAAUGGGCAGCAGCUCGGAGUAUCCGGUCUCCUUGGUCAUUUCUGUAGUGCUCUGCUGUACAUAACUCAGAAUUAUGUGAGUUUGGUUAACGUGCAUCCAUGUGAUCAAGGUUUUUUAGCUCCGAGUCUCCAGCAGAGCCAAAUGUCUGAGCCUGCAACUCUAAAUACCAGACUCUGGACCAUGAUGACUCCACCAGACCAAAAUGCUCCUCAAAGGCUUUGCGGCAUCACCCUUCUGGCAGGUACACCAACUUCACCGUGCAUUCCUCAAACUUCUUCAAUAACAAACUAAUCAACAGCAGGGAUUCGUUUUUUUAAAUGUAUUUUCAGAUGUCUAGUAAACUCACUGUCAGUACCUUGAAGGUAUUCUACUGAUGUUCCAAAAGGAAAAUGAAUAACUGUGUGUGUGAAUAAAUGCCUUUUGACUUGAAUGCAGUGGAUCAUUUAUGUGAGGCAGAAACACAUAGUGUAGGGGCGUUCUGUACUUACUUGAAGUAUAAAGCCAGGUCAGUUGCUAUUAUUGCAACUUCAAACAAAUGAAUAACUGUUUCAAACUGGCGUUUAUUUAGGUUCUGGAAGAUGUUUAAACUCUGUAAGAUAAAAAUUCACAAUAAAGUGCAAUCAUGAAUUUGUCUUGGUUCAACAAAUAAGCCAAACUAUGUUUAACAAAAUAAAGAUUAUUGGCACAGAGA